UACGGGGGGGGCAAGCGUUGUUCGGAAUUACUGGGCGUAAAGGGCUCGUAGGCGGCCAACUAAGUCGGAUGUGAAAUCCCCAGGCUUAACCUGGGAACUGCAUCCGAUACUGGAUGGCUUGAAUCCGGGAGAGGGAUGCGGAAUUCCAGGUGUAGCGGUGAAAUGCGUAGAUAUCUGGAGGAACACCGGUGGCGAAGGCGGCCUUCUGGACCAAUACUGACGCUCAUGCACGAAAGCGUGGGGAGCAAACAGG
rnacentral:rRNA from 1 species